UACGGAGGGUGCGAGCGUUGUCCGGAAUCACUGGGCGUAAAGGGCGCGUAGGCGGCGCGGGAAGGCGGCGGUGAAAGUCCGGGGCUCAACCCCGGAUCGGCCGUGGCGACUCCCGCGCUGGAGCACAGUAGAGGCGGGUGGAAUUCCGGGUGUAGCGGUGGAAUGCGUAGAGAUCGGGAAGAACACCAGUGGCGAAGGCGGUCUGCUGGGCCGUUGCUGACGCUGAGGCGCGACAGCGUGGGGAGCAAACAGG
rnacentral:rRNA from 1 species